AUUCUCUGACUCAGGGUUAUUACUGAAGCCUGAGAUUCUCUGUCUGUAUCCAGGUCAGGAGGGAGAAGAGGCUCCAGGGAAAGAGUGGUCAUAACGGGACCAGAGGGGAAAGGGAGGUGGGGAGCAUUAGGUGAGGAUGAAUUGGCCAAGCAGCCACGUGCUGCAAGCUGGGGAGGAGGACGGAGUCCAGGCUGCUGGAUCGGAGGCUGCCACCCCAGCGACAAAGUGACGCCCACCUCUUAACAGGAACGAGCAAAAUGAAGUUCUCUGCUGUUCACAUCAAGGCCAGUGUCAUCGGUGCUGCAUGCAGAUGGAUGCACCUUUCAAAUAGAGGCUCCAGGGGCGAUUCAAGACGUGCUAAUGUCUCUGUGAGGACGGAUGGCUCCCCUCACCCCGUCGCGGCUGAUAUUGAUAACUUGAAGGCAGCGGAGUUCCAGGCACCAGUUGCUGUAUCAGGCAAUCCACAACACACAGGAAGCACCCACAUACCUGUGCAAGAUUGAUUCCACUACCUGGCAAGUGGAUGUUAAGCAGUGAGUGGAGAGGUUUGCAUUAUUUUGAAGUGUAAUCAGCUAGUGAGU
rnacentral:lncRNA from 1 species